rnacentral:misc_RNA from 1 species
GAUGAAGAACGUAGCGAAAUGCGAUACGUAAUGUGAAUUGCAGAAUUCAGUGAAUCAUCGAAUCUUUGAACGCACAUUGCGCCUGCCAGCACUCUGGCAGGCAUGCCUGUUCGAGCGUCAUUUCAACCAUCAAGCCCUAGGCUUGCGUUGGAGCCCUGCGGCUGCCGCAGGCCCCUAAAAGCAGUGGCGGGCUCGCUAUCACACCGAGUGCAGUAGAUUACUCUUCGCUCAGGGCGUGUGGCGGGUUCCAGCCGUGAAACCCCCUACUUCUCAAGGUUGACCUCGGAUCAGGUAGGAAUACCCGCUGAACUUAAGCAUAUCAAUAAGCGGAGUA